CUUAAGAAAGACCAUUUUUCUUUGUAGACAAGACUAUGGAGAAGUUUUUCAUAGCAGCACUCAAAGAAAUGACAAAACACACAUCCACUCAAACUAGAAACAAAUAUUUAAAGUUUACUUCAUUUUGAUUAAAGAUAAAAAUCCUAAGCCUAAUAGGCUAUUAUUUAAAAACGAUACAAUAGUGAGGUCAAUAUUCAGUUUAACAAGACAAUAUUAUACUGUAAAGCAAGUGCAGAGAACGAGAGAGUGUGUAUGUCAGUAGGAUGCUGUCCGUGAGGUCUUUGCGCGCGCGUGGGCGUGACGCUUUGACGCGCCGCUCAAGACGCGCGUGAGUGUGAGAGCGCGCGCACACUGAUUCUGACUGACUGAACACACACAGCUGGAACAGCGCAACAUUACAGCACUGCAUUAACAUGGUGUGGAGUCACCCAUCGAACCCGGGCAGGAGGCAAAAGUCAAGAUCUACUUCACUCCCACUCAGUCUGGCCUGUGCAAACUCAUAGUGGAUUUUGACAGCGACAAGCUGGGCCACGUUAGAGGAUACAAGAAUGUUAUCAUCGGGAAGUGAGACCCUUCGGUGGUGGAUAACAGUCUAUUUUAUAAAAUCAUCUAUUUUUCCAUGCACUUGUCAGUAUUCACAGAGUAUUAGGCAAUCUUUUAUAUACUGUACUUUUCUAAGAAUGUGAAAAGCCAAGCUGAGCAAUAUGCAACAAUAAAUGUCAAGAAAUUUUGGAUGUUUGGAGCCACAUUGCAUCGUGGGAAAUAUCAUGCUGUAAAAACACAAGAAUGAAAAUGAUGCAUGCAAAAGUU